UUCUUCCAACAGCAGUGAUGGAUGUUGGGGAGCCUGUGGUCUGGACGUUUCAAACACUUGACCUGGAGCCUCUUGAAGCUCUUCAGGGACUUCCUGGGUGGUCCAGUGGCUAAGAUUCCAUGCGCCUAAUGCAGUGGGCCUAGGUUCAAUCCCUGGUGGGGGAACUAGAUCCCACAUGCUGCAACUAAGACCUGAUGCAGGCAAACUUUAAAUAAAAUAAAACAUGAGAAAAGGUUCUUCAGAAAAUGUUCUCUCCUUCGCCUUCCUUCAUCCCAUCAGACAGUCCUAUAAUAAUAGUAACCACUGCAGAGGUGUGUGGAGAGAGAUGAAAACUGCCUCCAACGCCCAGCCCAGGACCGGCAUAUAGAGAGGCUGUCUUCCUGCUCCAGGCAACGUGGCUCAGAACCAAGAGAAAUGAGCAAGCUGGAAUACAGGGCUGAACUGGAAACGCCCACGGGCCCCUGACUCAGCAGAGCUGCCUGACCCCUUGAAGAAAGAAGAGCCUUCUAAGCAGUGAGCCCCAGACUCUGAGCUGAGCUUUGUAACAACAGAGAAACAGGACACAGCCACCCAAGAGGGUUUUCAAUCCAGCAAACAUGUUUGUGCUAAUUGAUGCCACACUGUGCCAUCGGAGAUGCCGAAGAUGCUGCGAUGCUCAAGCUUGUCUUCACAGGGGACUCUCCACGGAUCCAGCCACGGGAAUGAGUGGACCCCAGGGACUGUAUCAAGAGCCGCAUGUUGAACCUGCUGAAGCCACAGAUAAGGUGGAGAGCUGUUUGGCUGGGAGAGUCAGCCUUGGACUGUCCGGAAACCAGGACACAAACUUGUGACAUGUAAGGCAGCUACCAUGGGGUGAUUUUUCUGCUAUAGCAGCUGAUACUUCCUUAACAAACACAAUCAAAGACAGCUUCUGCUCACCUUCCUGGCAUCAGGAUGGGAACCAAAAAGCUCGAGACCUGGGAGAAUAAAACCCACUCUUCCAGAAAACAG
ensembl:lncRNA